UGCCAGCCGCCGCGGUAAUACGGAGAGUGCAAGCGUUGUUCGGAAUCAUUGGGCGUAAAGCGCGUGUAGGCGGCCCCUUAAGUCUGGUGUGAAAGCCCUCGGCUCAACCGAGGAAGUGCAUUGGAUACUGGGAGGCUUGAGUACGGGAGAGGGAAGUGGAAUUCCGAGUGUAGAGGUGAAAUUCGUAGAUAUUCGGAGGAACAUCAGUGGCGAAGGCGACUUCCUGGACCGAUACUGACGCUGAGACGCGAAAGCGUGGGUAGCAAACAGGAUUAGAUA
rnacentral:rRNA from 1 species